CAACGCCGCGUGGAGGAUGAAAUCCCUUGGGAUGUAAACUCCUUUCGAUCGGGAAGAUAAUGACGGUACCGAGAGAAGAAGCCCCGGCUAACUUCGUGC
rnacentral:rRNA from 1 species